rnacentral:lncRNA from 1 species
CAUCUACCUCACCCCACCACUCCAAGGAGCCAGAGCCCCGGGAAGUCACACACCUCACUGCUGCAGGUUUCUACCAUUUCAAUUCUUUGUGGAACUCAAUCUGUUUUCUUAACUGAUGCAAAAAAGACCACUUAAAGAUGGAGUCUCGCUCUGUCGCCCAGGCUGGAGUGCAGUGGUGCGAUCUCGGCUCACUACAAGCUCCGCCUCCUGGGUUCCCACUAUUCUCCUGCCUCAGCCUCCCAAGUAGCUGGGACUACAGGUGUCUGCCACCACGCCCAGCUAAUUUUUUGUAUUUUUAGUAGAGAUGGGGUUUCACCGUGUCAGCCAGGAUGGUCUCGGUCUCCUGACCUUGUGAUCCGCCUGCCUCGGCCUCCCAAAGUGCUGGGAUUACGGGCAUGAGCCACAGCGCUCAGCCCUAAUUUUUGUAUUUUUAGUAGAAAAGGGGUUUCACUAUGUUGGCCAUGCUGGUCUUGAAUUCCUGAACUCAGGUGAUCCGCCCACCUUGACCUCCCAAAAUGCUGGGAUUACAGGCAUGAGCCACCGCACCUGGUUUCUUAACAUUCUUUGCCACCUCCUCUGCUAUAUCUAUUUACUUUGUAUCCACCAGAUCGAAAGCUCAGGUCUAAUUCCCUGUACCUAGAAUAUUGCCUGUAGUGUAGUAGGCACUUAAGGUUUUGUUGAGUGAGAGAAUGAAUAAACAAACAGAAGGAUUUGCUUUUCAAACCAGAGCCUCCCUGCCUCCUGCUCUGCCUGCUAAGGAUCAGGAGGAGACAGCAGCUAAGGAAGGCAGUCCUGAAUUUUCCCUAGGGAUAGGGAGUAAGUGGGGGGAUCCCUGAGAAACGCUGGAAGCACCCACUCUGCUGCCAAGGCUGCGAGGAAAACAGGCCAGAGUAUCCUAACAGCCUCCACUCAGAAGGGGCCUGGAAACUUUUAACCAGACAAAAUAACAAAUGCAGUGGUUUAGGGCUUGGUGGGGCUUCCCACCCGUCCCACCCCUGUCCCACACACCUAGGCCCACAUUGAAUGCCCUCAGCACCUCCGGCUGCACAGGGGCCUGUUUUCCCUGACUCUGCUGCUGUUCACAGAACCAACUUCCUCCCACCCCACACAGACGCUCCCUUCCCAGAGCUCAUUGGGAACCUUCUGAUUUGCAUCUCCAAAGAAAU